rnacentral:rRNA from 1 species
CCUACGGGAGGCAGCAGUGGGGAAUAUUGGACAAUGGGCGGAAGCCUGAUCCAGCCAUGCCGCGUGUGUGAAGAAGGCCUUUUGGUUGUAAAGCACUUUAAGCGAGGAGGAGGCUACUAGUACUAAUACUACUGGAUAGUGGACGUUACUCGCAGAAUAAGCACCGGCUAACUCUGUGCCAGCAGCCGCGGUAAUACAGAGGGUGCGAGCGUUAAUCGGAUUUACUGGGCGUAAAGCGUGCGUAGGCGGCUUUUUAAGUCGGAUGUGAAAUCCCCGAGCUUAACUUGGGAAUUGCAUUCGAUACUGGGAAGCUAGAGUAUGGGAGAGGAUGGUAGAAUUCCAGGUGUAGCGGUGAAAUGCGUAGAGAUCUGGAGGAAUACCGAUGGCGAAGGCAGCCAUCUGGCCUAAUACUGACGCUGAGGUACGAAAGCAUGGGGAGCAAACAGGAUUAGAUACCCUGGUAGUCCAUGCCGUAAACGAUGUCUACUAGCCGUUGGGGCCUUUGAGGCUUUAGUGGCGCAGCUAACGCGAUAAGUAGACCGCCUGGGGGAGUACGGUCGCAAGCUAAAACUCAAAAGGAUUGACGG